rnacentral:rRNA from 1 species
CCUACGGGUGGCUGCAGUGAGGAAUAUUGCGCAAUGGCCGAACGGCUGACGCAGCGACGCCGCGUGAGGGAUGAAGUCCGUUAGGAUGUAAACCUCUUUUGCAGGGGAUGAAUGUCUCGCUAUACGCGGGAUUGACCGUACCCUGCGAAUAAGGAUCGGCUAACUACGUGCCAGCAGCCGCGGUAAUACGUAGGAUCCGAGCGUUGUACUGAAUUACUGGGGGUAAUGGGCGGGUAGCUAGGUCCGUGGUGAAAUCCCGCAGCUUAACUGCGGAAUUGCCUUCGAUACUGGGGAUCUUGAGUACGGCAGAGGGAGAUGGAAUUCAUGGUGUAGCGGUGAAAUGUGUAGAUAUCAUGAAGAACACCGGUAGCGAAGGCGGUCUCCUGGUCCGUAACUGACACUGAUGCGCGAAAGCGUGGGGAGCGAACAGGAUUAGAUACACGGGUAGUC